GCCGAUGUGGCUCAGUUGGUAGAGCGUCGCAUUCGUAAUGCGCAGGUCACGAGUUCGAGUCUCGUCAUCGGCU
rnacentral:tRNA from 1 species